UUUUUCCCUGCAAUAUUUAAGUUUGUUUGUUUGUUGUUUUUUCUCCAAAGACCGUGAGCUCUAUUUUGUAAAGAUUCUAGUUUCUUACUUUAAAACUUACAUAAUGAGAGCACUUACAAUUACAGUUUGUGUCUGUCUGCUAGUCAUAGCACUCGCUAGUGUCCUGGCCCAGGCACAAUGUCCGAUGUUCUGUCCACGCAUCUACGCCCCAGUGUGUGCCAGCAAUGGUCAGACAUAUGCUAAUGAAUGUGAAAUGCGGUUAGCCUCCUGCGAAAAACAGCUUGACCUUACAUUGGCUAAACAAGGUCCUUGUUAAAACAUCUUGUAUCAGGGCCCACAACUUAACCUACAUUAAUUGAGGAGGAUGGCACAUUAUUUGCUCAGAACAUAUAUCUGAAAAUUAUUUUGAACCUUAUCACUUGUUGUUUUAACUCUUUCUCUCCGUAAUUAUUUCCCUCGCUCCGUUGAAAUUUUUUAUUUUGCUUAUUUAUGUUUCACUACCCUGUUAUGAUUACAUUUCAAUAAAAUUUGUGAAUAUAAUCAGGAAAUGUUAAAUUAUGUAUAAUCAUAGAAGAAUUUUAUAUAACACAAAUUAAAGUUUAUAAAAUCAAAAAUUACUUUAAUUUAACCAGGCCGCACUGAGAUUAGUAUUGUCAGUUAGGAGAGAAAGAGUUAACAUAUAACCCAUAUAGAUUCCGAUAUUCCUAUUUUGAAUUUCAUUUGUGUGAAUUUGGUCUAAUACACACUAUAAACUUUGGUGAUAAAAGA
rnacentral:sRNA from 1 species